rnacentral:rRNA from 1 species
AUGAGUUCGUCAACCUUCAAGUCCAUAAAGGCGUCUUUCACGACUUCAUUGCCAGCAGAUGCCGUUGCCACAACACUAAAACCACCAUCCAGUAUAUCAGAUUUUUCCAGGGCUCCUUUCAAGAUAUCCAUGACAAUUUUGGACCCUUGGCUUUGCCUGAACUUUUCAGUGCUCCCAACAUCUGCAGAUUGA